GCGGCGAGCGAACGGGGAGCAGCCCGGAGUCUGAAUCAGCUUGUGUGUUAGUGGAACGGUCUGGAAAGUCCGACGGUACAGGGUGAUAGUCCCGUACACGAAAAUGCACAUGCUGUGAACUCGAAGAGUAGGGCGGGACACGUGGUAUCCUGUCUGAAUAUGGGGGGACCAUCCUCCAAGGCUAAAUACUCCUGACUGACCGAUAGUGAACCA
rnacentral:rRNA from 1 species